GGGACACCCGGACCGCGAACCCCGAGGGGCAGACGCGGGUCAGGGACAUCAUUCCUUCCAUUGCCAGCCCGGGACUGCCCUCGCACCUGCUGGCCCCAAACCCGCUUCCCCAGCCUCCUUCUUCCAGAGGGGAAAUUGUGGCCAAGCCCGGAAUCCAGGCGCUUCCAAAAAGCUCCGUCAUACAUGGACACUCACCCAAGCAGACCGGCUGUGGUGGGAUGCAGCUGUCCUAAAGCAAUUAGGAUUCUCCUGGAUGCAAACAGGUCAGAGCCACACUCGGGAAGGCAAAGAAGAUGGCAAGCAGCUCCUCCAGGGCAAAUGGACAAGUAGGCAGCUAAUCAGAGGGGCAAGCAGGUCUCUUUCUGGUCCCUGACUUACCCAUUCUUUUCUUCGCUGCCUCCAUCUCUGCAGUAGUCAAAAACCUUUAUGGUGGAAUCUGUCCUCAUUUUAGGAAGGAAUUAAAUAGCAAGAGCUGGAUCUGCAAUGCUUCUGUCUACUUCCAGAGUGUACUUGUAGCUAACAGA